rnacentral:rRNA from 1 species
CACGUAGGGCGCAAGCGUUGUCCGGAAUUAUUGGGCGUAAAGAGCUCGUAGGUGGUUUGUUACGUCCGCUGUGAAAUCCUAGGGCUUAACCCUGGGCUUGCAGUGGAUACGGGCAGACUAGAGGUAGGUAGGGGAGAAUGGAAUUCCUGGUGUAGCGGUGAAAUGCGCAGAUAUCUGGAAGAACACCGAUGGCGAAGGCAACCUCCUGGGCCUGUUCUGACGCUGAGGCACGAAAGCGUGGGGAGCAAACAGG